AGUAGAAAAGUCAUGCUGAUUGUAUUGCAACUUUGAUAGUGCUUCCACAAUUUUUGCUGCAAAAUGUGGGGACGUGAGAUAUGAAAUAUUUUCAGUUUAGAGAAGGACUGGAGUAUCAUAGUCAAAACCAGGCCUCAGGCUAAAGCAAAGCUGAAGUUUAACAAUAUUAAAAGUGAGUGCAUGAACUUAGGGGCUUAAAGCAAGAAUUUCUUCUUCAAACAGUGGGCUCUUCUGUUGGAAAUGACAGAGUAGUAGAAAUACUUGCUUUUCUAUUAAAUAACUCAUUGCAUGCCUCCAGAUAAAGAUAAGAUGUGACUGUAUUGUUGCCAUGAAAAAGAAAUGGAGGAUUUAUCUAUGAGAGGAAUCUAAAAGACUUGGUUUGAUAUGUUUGCCUGUAAUAACGAGCAACUAGAAUUGAUGUCCUGGGAAUUUUCACCUGACAAAUUCCCAGUCACUACAUGGCUCUGGGACAUUGGUGAUUCUUUGGACUCUCUGUUUUAGCCCUUAUGAUACAAAUUCUUAGUUUCUACAUAUACCGUGAAGUAUUUUUGUAGUUUGGUGGUGACAGAGCAGUACGGAUGUACACAUACGCUUCUGAACUGAAUGUUUAUAACUCAGUUUUUUGUAAAACUUUCUGAGAGAAAAAGAAAGUUGUUUAUGAAUGACCAAAAUUUUCAUGGCCACAAUGUCAACCUUGUGUGGGGGAUUACAAAAAAUACACUUCAGCAAAGCAGAGAGAACUUAAGCAUUGUUAAGAGAAAUAAGGCUUGGAAAAUUAAUCUUGAAUAUCUUGGCAAAGGUCGACAUUUUUACUGUUUCUAAUAAUGUCUUUGUAUAUAUUGACAAACUUGGAUUAUAGCUAUACUCUCCUGUGAUAAUUAAUACUUUUACAGAAGAGGUUUGAUUCAGAAUUAUUGCUCAUCCUUGACUGUCCUGUACUUAUAUUCCCAGAUUAAUAAUGAAAACUUUGUUAUCUUUUCAGUUAUCCAAAGGUAAGCAAGUUACUAGUAUUUCUCAUUUCAUUUGAAAUACAGAUUUUUAUUGCCUUUGUCCUUGUGCACUCUUUGAGUCCCUGUUAUUAUUUUCCAUCUGUUUGAACAGGAAAACAAAUCACUUAAAAGAGAUAUAUUAAAACUGACGGUCAUACUAGAUAGCCAAAUACUGUGGUCAUUGUGUUCUGAAUAAAUCACUGCACUGAUGCAUAAUGAAGGUUGAUGUACCACAGCAAGAAAGUAGUAGUGAGGGUAUGCCCCAAUAAUCUAGAAAAAUACUGCUUAAGAUACUUGGCCAAAAAGGAAAAAAGAAGUUACUCAGGAAAAAAAAGUGUGGCAAAGAAUUUAAUUGGUAUGGAGCAGGAAAAUAACAAGGAAUGGAAAAAAAAAAAAAUUAUGACAAGCUUUUCUUAUCUUCUUCUCUUUCCGGCAAUUGUGUGCCAACAUAACACUAUUUUAGGAUUAAAAAAAAAUAUUUCCCCAUUUUUUUCACCAAUAAUUUCCAUUUUAAGAAUUUUUUAUUUUUUAGAUUUUUGCUAUUUUCCCUGCUAAUUUUCUGUUUGCUUCUUAAUGUCUUAUUUAUUCUCCUGUGCUGUUGCCAUAUUUCUUUCCUUCUUUUCUAUUUCAUUAUUUCCUCCUUUGUCUCUCUUCUCAGUCUCUUUCCCUUACUCCAAUCUUUUUUUUUUUUUUUUUUUUGGCUGGCCUCCAUAGAAAAUACUGCAGUAUUUUUUUUUCGUACUACUGUUGCCAGUAAAACACUAUCCUUGACAAAGAGGAAAAAUAAGCUGCUGCUCUGGAGGUGGCUAGAAAACUGGCAUAAUACCAGUGAACAUAAUCCAAGCCUGGCAUGGGACAGACUAGACGACCUAAAAACUUUUCCUUAUAUUGAACUUCAAGGUUUUUGUGGAAGAAGUAAGGGAAAGGGACAGAUUCCAAAACACUAAAAUCUGUCAUGAUGUUUUAAUUGUGAAGGGCUUAAGGGACCCUGGAGAUCCUCUGUCCUAAAACAUACAUUUCACUCUCGGUGCUUAGUUUGCAUUUCACCUUGUUUUAAAUUAAAUGAGAUGCCUACUUUAACUACUUCGGCUCAACCCUUUACUUUUGCUAAGCAGAUGAGAAGAGUUUCUGUGCCAGGGGCAGACGCAGCCACUCUUCAGUAGGCUUUCUUCUGGAAAAGAGCGGUGUAAGUCCUGGAUCAGCACUAUAGUGCAGUGCACAUGGGUAAGCCUUCUGGCAGUACAUGUAAGGCGGAGGAAGGGCAGAGUCAAAGAUCAAGGCGGAGCCCAGAGAAGUUAAUACCCUGGGGACCGUACCACGUCCAUAUAUUUCCUUUCCUUCCUUGCUUGCCUGUCGUCAAGCUUAGCUGCAUGUGCCAAGCACCGACUGCAAGACUGUAGACUUGUGUAGAGGGGUCUGAGGGGUUUGUUCCUGCCUUUGUUUUGUGGAUCCAUGAUUUGUCUAGCCUUCAAGAAAAGGUACUUAUGUAUGUUUGCGUACGUGUAUGUAAUGAUUUCAGUUCUUGUAACACACACUUCAGAAAGACUGCAGAGAUAUGCCUUAUUUAAGAAAACAAAAUAUCCUCUCUCAUCCAAGGUCAUACUGUGUCAAUCCCUUGGGAGACAUAAAGCUCGUUUAUUAGUACAGGAGCCAGAUAAAUACAUGAUAGAAGCCACUGCUGACACUGGCACAUUAAACACUCUUAGGAAAGUUCAACAAACCUUCAGACACAGUAAUUUGACAUCUUAUUUUUCUUCCUCCUUGGUCAGCUAUCCAUCUCUAUGUAACUGAAGUAUAAAACAACCAUUUGAUUAAGAACUCUUAUUAAUAGAAAUUCAAGAUUAGAAACCGUGCAAAAAUAAAACUAACAGCACUUGAAAAAGUGAAGGAUUCAUCCCAGAUUUGGAGCUAGUUUGCAUUGCCAUUUCUAACACAUAGGACUGAGCCUUUUAUUUUCAUAUCUUGCUGUAAGUCUUUGCCAGCCUGCUUAUAUUCCCCAAAUAGCUUCUGCUUCACUACAUUUCCAUCUGUACAGAAAGGGCAUGGACAUAAACACUGAUAAACAGUGAAUGAAAUCUUCCCUACCUCCCAGCUAAGGCAGGAUACUGGCAGGCCAUAUUUUUCUUUUCAGAAAGUAUUAUGCUAGGGAUUGAGUCUUUUAUUGUGAUUUAAGAGGGAUUUUUACCAGGAAGCUGGCAGCAUCAAGCGCUUUUUGCUAGAUGUUGCACUGCUCUAUGAUAUAUAGGCGUGUGUCUUUUGGCUGCUGUAACAACCUUCCUCAAAACUAACAAAGUACCAUUAACUAUAUCUUUACCAUUUAAUCUCUGCAGUAGAUUAAAGUAGAUUUUUAGUCUUGCUUUUUUUGGUCUGAAUUUUCCUCUGAUUAAGAACAAGAUGGAAGACUGUCAUAUAUGUGCCCACAUAAAGGAAGGAAUGUAAGAGCUAUACUCACCUCUGUGGACCAAUUGCACCAGGAAGAUAUCAUCUGGCUGCUGUUCGUCAGAGCUGCUCGAGUCUGCAGGUGCUUCCCCACACGUUCUUCAGAAUAGCGUUCAGACAAGCCCUCGAAGAGUCCCCACGAUGGGCAGUGGAGGCAGCUGCGGGAACACACGCCAGAACACGCUGGGGCUGUCUGCAAGAAUGGGAAGACCAGGCAAAACUGCAGUUAAUACAGUAUUUGAGAAAAUUAUUUUCUUAGUAGCUGUAAGGAAGGAAAAACACACUGGGAAGCAGACUGCAAGAAAGAAUUCUAUCCAUUAAUGGUAGAUGCAUGAAUUUGAAAAAUAUCUGGACUUCAACUCUGAUUUUGAAUGAAAAUGAAAUUGUAAGUGAUUGGAGAGGCUAAGAGUGAUAGUUAUGGUGAAGGUUUUAAAUUGUCUGAAAGAUAGAUGCCUGAACUGUUGCUGUUGUUUGCCAUGACCUUAUGAUGGAACAUGAAGGAAAAGACCAUAAGCACUUUAGACAUAUUAUCUUAGUGCUGUGCAUUUUUCAAAACCAUGGUGAAUAUAAAUCCCCAUACCAAAAAUCAAUGUGGAUCAACCUAUCCUUUGGAUGUGAUUUGUAGUUAUUGGGGGUAUCUGAAUCUCAUUUAAGCAGAGCUCUGGCAUGCAAACAUUGCCUUAGUUUGUCUGAACGUGAUGUCCUCCUGCAGCUGCACAAGAGCAGAGUGCACAAAAUGCACAUUGCAACAUUUCAUGCGGAGGUUUGAUGGUGUGAACAGCAACACUUCAUGAAGUCUUACAAGACUCCUGUCACAUACCGGUGAAUCUUCAGACUGUUGAAGCCAAUGAACUCAGGGGUGAUCAAAAUGCUUCAAGGAAUAAAGAAAGUAGAAAUCUCCUCACCCCCUCCAUGAAAUUUUGCAUGCCUCACUGGUGAAAUGCCAGACAAAGUAAUCCAAAAGUAAGAGCAUUAAAAACCUUCUGUGAAGGUUUUUGGCUUCUCAGACUUUCUGCGUGUAUGUUGUAAAGCAGCAGUCUGUGCUAAGAACAGAGAAAUUUAUUAAUUUCUUCUUCUGGGACAAUUGUCUGUCCUUUCUUUGUUCCUCCUGCUAUGCAGGUCCAAAAGGAGAUGGGGAGACAAAGGAAGGAUUUGCCCUUCUUACAAACACUUCCUCUAAUUCUUGAAGUGAAGAAGCAAGAAAAAUAGCAUUUUCAUGUGUCGCUCCUAUAGAAGGUCUCCUGACACUUCCAUAGAGAAGUGGGAGGUCCCUGAAACUUAAAGAAGAGGGGCAGAUAGUAAGGGGGGAGAUGCAGAAUGGGAGAACAGGUAAGGCAGGAACCAGAGAAAAUGCAGAAAGGAUCUUCUCGCGCAUUAUAUCAUGCAUCCUCCUGUUGGUUACCAUCUUUCACCAUUCAUUCAUUACUUGCUAAAUGAUUAUUUACUUUACUGAUAUACUAAGCAUGCGUGUAGGAUCUGCUCAUUGGACAAAACAUAUUCAGUCUGUAUUAUUAUCUUUAAGUGCCAUAUUUGGACUUUAAUUGGUUUGCCCAUUCUCUUUUGUGCAGUACAACAUACGUACAAUAAUAAAAAUUUUUAUUUAAGUGUU